rnacentral:rRNA from 1 species
UACGAAGGGGGCUAGCGUUGCUCGGAAUCACUGGGCGUAAAGCGCACGUAGGCGGCUUUCUAAGUCAGGGGUGAAAUCCUGGAGCUCAACUCCAGAACUGCCUUUGAUACUGGAGAGCUUGAGUCCGGGAGAGGUGAGUGGAACUCCGAGUGUAGAGGUGAAAUUCGUAGAUAUUCGGAAGAACACCAGUGGCGAAGGCGGCUCACUGGACCGGUAUUGACGCUGAGGUGCGAAAGCGUGGGGAGCAAACAGG